GACAGAGGUGCCAAGCGUUUAGGCGGAAUCACUGGGCUUAAAGCGUGUGUAGGCGGAUCGUUAAGUACCUUGUGAAAUCCCACGGCUCAACCGUGGAACUGCUGGGUAUACUGGCGAUCUUGAGCCACCUAGGGGCGAGCGGAACAAGCGGUGGAGCGGUGAAAUGCGUAGAUAUCGCUUGGAACGCCAAUGGUGAAAAC
rnacentral:rRNA from 1 species